CGGUGGAGCAUGUGGUUUAAUUCGAUGAUACGCGAGGAACCUUACCUGGGCUCAAAUGUAUGUUGACGUAUUCUGAAAGGGAUACUUCUUCGGACAAUAUACAAGGUGCUGCAUGGUUGUCGUCAGCUCGUGCCGUGAGGUGUCGGGUUAAGUCCCAUAACGAGCGCAACCCCUAUCAUUAGUUGCCAUCAGGUCAAGCUGGGGACUCUAAUGAAACUGCCUACGCAAGUAGUGAGGAAGGUGGGGAUGACGUCAAAUCAGCACGGCCCUUACGUCCAGGGCUACACACGUGCUACAAUGGCCGGUACAAAGGGCAGCUACCUGGUGACAGGAUGCUAAUCUCAAAAGCCGGUCUCAGUUCGGAUCGGAGUCUGCAACCCGACUCCGCGAAGCUGGAAUCGCUAGUAAUCGCGCAUCAGCCAUGGCGCGGUGAAUACGUUCCCGGGCCUU
rnacentral:rRNA from 1 species